rnacentral:tRNA from 1 species
GCACCGGGUUUCAUACGGGCGAUGUCGGCGGCGCCGACGAUGCCGCGCGAGCGGUCGGAGAGCACGUAGUGGAUCGUGACCACGUCGGCGCGC